rnacentral:lncRNA from 1 species
UGAGGAGAUUUUUACCUUUUCUCUUUUUUUCCUUCUUUCCUUCUCAUAGUAGUUCUGCUUUCCCUGUUAUGGUGCCAUUUUGGGUCAAGAACCAAGGGGACUCUAGUACAGAUACCCUAUGAUGAAGGAAUACAGACAUUAAUCAAAUAUAACAUAGAAAGUGAGAAAACGUUGUCACAGGUGUGGACAGAUUUCGAAGAUCAGUUUUCACCACAACCUCUCUAUUCAGUUACUGAAAAAGGAAAGCAAAACACUCAGAACUCCAUUAAAGGUAAAAGCAGUCUGGAAUCAAAGAAAUUAUUUGAAAUGAUAAAUGUGGGGGACGUGGUGAUGGAAGUUCUGCAGAUGUGGGCUGAGAGGCAUGCACGUUACCGUGACUAA